rnacentral:rRNA from 1 species
GAUGAACGCUGGCGGCGUGCCUAAUACAUGCAAGUCGAGCGAACAGAUGAGAUGCUUGCUUAACUGAUGUUAGCGGCGGACGGGUGAGUAACACGUGGGUAACCCACCUAGCAGCCUGGGAUAACUCCGGGAAACCGGGGCUAAUACCGGAUAAUACUUUGAACCGCAUGGUUCAAUAGCGAAAGACGGUUUCGGCUGUCACUUCUAGAUGGACCCGCGCCGAUUUAGCUAGUUGGUAGGGUAACGGCUUACCAAGGCGACGAUACGUAGCCGACCUGAGAGGGUGAUCGGCCACACUGGAACUGAGACACGGUCCAGACUCCUACGGGAGGCAGCAGUAGGGAAUCUUCCGCAAUGGGCGAAAGCCUGACGGAGCAACGCCGCGUGAGUGAUGAAGGUCUUCGGAUCGUAAAACUCUGUUGUUAGGGAAGAACAAAUUUGUUAGUAAAUGAACAAGGCUUGACGGUACCUAACCAGAAAGCCACGGCUAACUACGUGCCAGCCGCCGCAGUAA